GGGAUAGUGUAGUGGUUAUCACAUCAGCUUUAUAUGCUGAAUGGUCCUGGGUUCAAGCCCCAGGUGGAACCA